rnacentral:lncRNA from 1 species
UUAUAUUUUCAAAGGUUCAUGGUCUUCCUCGUCUGGGGAAUAAAUCUAGUAUAUUAAACUCUGCAUUUUCAUCAAAUGAAGUUUUAUAUAGCAUUCAGCAUUGUAUAUGGUUUCUUUUUUAAAGCCCUUAUCCAAUGUAAUAUAUAAUAUAAUAUAUUGGAUAAGUGUUUUAUCCAACAUAUCCACACUACUAAGUUUUAUACUCUACAAUAAAUGGGGGAAGUACCAAAAUUCCAGUGAACAAAUGAAAAUUUUUGUCAUUACCAGUAUUAGUGUCAGUAUCAGUGUCAUUACCAGUAUUAGUGUCAGUAUCAGUGUCAUUACCAGUAUUACAUUAACAGUGUUGCCACACAUAUAAAAAUGAAGUAGAGAAAUUAUGUAUUAUAAUUUUGGAACUAAAUAUUAUGUCUUUGCAGAAAGUGGACUUAUACCACUUUUAAAGUAAUUAUAUUUGUG